rnacentral:rRNA from 1 species
AACGAACGCUGGCGGCAUGCCUAACACAUGCAAGUCGAACGAGACCUUCGGGUCUAGUGGCGCACGGGUGCGUAACGCGUGGGAACCUGCCCUUAGGUUCGGAAUAACUCCCCGAAAGGGGUGCUAAUACCGGAUAAUGUCUUCGGACCAAAGAUUUAUCGCUUUUGGAUGGGCCCGCGUUGGAUUAGCUAGUUGGUAGGGUAAAAGCCUACCAAGGCGACGAUCCAUAGCUGGUCUGAGAGGAUGAUCAGCCACACUGGGACUGAGACACGGCCCAGACUCCUACGGGAGGCAGCAGUGGGGAAUAUUGGACAAUGGGCGAAAGCCUGAUCCAGCAAUGCCGCGUGAGUGAUGAAGGCCUUAGGGUUGUAAAGCUCUUUUACCCGGGAUGAUAAUGACAGUACCGGGAGAAUAAGCUCCGGCUAACUCCGU